GCUUGGGUGGCUCAGUGGUUGGGCAUCGGGCUUCGGCUCAGGCCAUGAUCUCACGGGUCGUGGGUUCGAGCCCUGCCUCAGGCU
rnacentral:tRNA from 1 species